GUUUCUCCUUCACGCUUUCUCAUUUGACAACCAUAAUUCUAGAACCUGCCGCUGCAAUUCUUCUUGCCUUUAACCUCACGCUGUAACGGUGGAACAUUAAGAACCUGCAAAAGCUUCAUAUCUUUGGAUCCCAAAACCAUCGAUUUGUCUCAACCAAGUUUUUUUCAUGUUUGCUAGAUGUUUUUCAAAUCACAGGUUUGAUUUCGUCUUUUGUGACAAACAAUUCGAUUCGAAUGCUCGGUUUUGUUUGAUUAGGUCUGAUUCGAUUUCAUCUUUGUCACACUACAAUUAAGCAUUUUUUUAUCAAGAUGGAGAAGCUUCUUGAAUGGACUGACAUACCGAAUUGAUGGAAACGCUGUAGAAUCGGAUCAACCUCCAUUAAUUGGUAUUCUUUUCCCUUUCUUGGGUCAAAAUUGAGUUAUUACACACUUACUUUACUUUAUUGUACUUUUCUUUCUUUUAUUUCAUGAUAAGCAUUCAUUUGUUUGAUUAAUCAAGAAUUUUGUUUUUCUAUCCUCUGUCUUGCCCAAAUAAAGAUUAGCUUUUCUUCUUCUUCUUUUUUUUCCAACCAAGUUAUGUGUAUACAUCAUCCAGCAAAUGUUUUUUUUUUAUUUCUCCAUUUGUGCUUUUCUUGCGCUUAGUGGAAAAAGCGUUUUACUGCGCCUCGAGCCUAGGCGCGCCUCAGGCGCGCUUUUUAUAACCCAGGUACCACCAUUUUUGGUCCAAAAAAUUUUCACACAAAUAUUUUCAUUCAUUAAUGUUCAAUUGUUUAACAGCCUUCUUUUGAGACGAGAAUGUUGUUCGUUCAGCAAUGGUGAAUAUGUGAAAGCCUGACUUGGUGAAUUAAAAGACUGGUGUUACAACGCAACCGAUGAGUAUGCGGGUUUUGCAUGGGAAGAACUUAAACAUAUCCGGCAGGCUAUCGGGUUUCUGGUUAUUCAUCAAUAGCUGAAGAAAACCCUUGAUGAAAUAAGUCAUAGCCUGCGUCCCGUUAUUAGUGUACAACAGUUGUACCGGAUCAUUACAAUGUAUUGGGAUGACAAAUAUGGAACUCAUAGUGUGUCCCCAGAUCAUAAGGAUUAUGAUGACAGAAGAAAAUAAUACAAUAAGCAAUUCUUUCCUUUUGGAUGACGAUUCCAGAGGUUGCAAAAUGGGCACAGGGCCAGACAUGCAGGAAGAACAGAUAUCCCUAUUGCAGAAGGAUCUCAUGUUAGUUAUGUGUUGGUCAAAAAAAGUUCAAGGAGCUGCCAAGCGUUUUGGUCCCAAAAACUAAGAUUAUUUUUCAUCAAUAUGAAAAUGAAUUUGAUGCUCUUUAAGGUCUUGCGUUGCCCAGCUCCAAUCUUAUCUGCUGUUGGUGAUUUUUUAGAUGGAUUGGAGGCUUCAUGACUUAUCUAGGGUUACAAGUGUUGCUUCUUUCUUUGUUAGUCGAGUAGAUACACUUCUUGACAAAAUGCUUGAAAAAAUUGGAACCCCAGAGGCCCUCAAUCAUCAAGGGAAGCGCCCAACGGUUGAAUGACUUGGGUGAAGAAUCAGCCAGACUUCCUCUCUUCCUCUCUGGAGGUAGGCAGAACCGCGGUUCGUAUGGAAUAACUAUAUGUUGGAGCUUCUUAUAGAUAAUUAACAAGAAGCUGGAUGCACACAUUCUUCCUGUUAUUCAAGGAAGUAUCUUUUAAUUUUUUUAUUAGAAGUAUUUUUUUAAUAUAAAGAGGUGUUUAUUUCAUUUUUUUAACUUUCUAACAGCUUUUCAAAGCUUUGAAGUAGCAAUAGGCAAAGAUAUUAUAGAUGUCACCUUGAUAGCAAGGAGGAGAUGAAGUUGAGGGAGAAGAUGAGAAACAGACGAUGCAGUCUUUUAAUUCACAAAUCCUAGAAAAAACCCAAAACACAUUUAUUUUGUAUUGGUAGAGUACACAUCACUAAAUCAACUAUUUAGAUUACUUUACACUGCUAUGGUUUAUGAUAAUUUGAAAUUAUAUGUACAUGCCACCUCUAUUACAAUAUAUGACUUUCUGUAUGCAA